rnacentral:rRNA from 1 species
AGUAAAUAGAUACCCGGGUAGUCCACGCCGUAAACGAUGUCGACUUGGAGGUUGUGCCCUUGAGGCGUGGCUUCCGGAGCUAAACGCGUUAAAGUCGACCGCCUGGGGAGUACGGCCGCAAGGUUAAAACUCAAAUGAAUUGACGGGGGCCCGCACAAGCGGUGGAGCAUGUGGUUUAAUUCGAUGCAACGCGAAGAACCUUACCUACUCUUGACAUCCAGAGAACUUUCCAGAGAUGGAUUGGUGCCUUCGGGAACUCUGAGACAGGUGCUGCAUGGCUGUCGUCAGCUCGUGUUGUGAAAUGUUGGGUUAAGUCCCGCAACGAGCGCAACCCUUAUCCUUUGUUGCCAGCGGUUAGGCCGGGAACUCAAAGGAGACUGCCAGUGAUAAACUGGAGGAAGUGGGGAUGACGUCAAGUCAUCAUGGCCCUUACGAGUAGGGCUACACACGUGCUACAAUGGCGCAUACAAAGAGAAGCGACCUCGCGAGAGCAAGCGGACCUCAUAAAAGUGCGUCGUAGUCCGGAUUGGAGUCUGC